AUGGUUAUACCCGAAGCCAAAUCCAAGACCGCGGGCGCAAACGUCACCGCGAAAAAUGAGCCAUGGGUACUGGCUUCCCAAGUUGACCAAUGCUUCUUCAUUACCGACCCGUCAAAGCCCAGUCGUGUUGUCGUGAGGAGAGGCAAAAGGAAGAUCAUCGGAAUAGAUGGAGUAGCCAAUGAGCAAGACUUCGACAAGUACGGCGACCCGAGGAUCGAACAUGACGACGAUGAUGAAGUAGCAGCAUACACCACAAGAAGAAGCAGGACCACCCUACCUAAAGGACGUCCAUUCCACAGAAGAACUCCAUUUGCGAAAAAGAAGGGCAAGAAGAUUGUGAACAGAUAG
rnacentral:rRNA from 1 species